UACAUAGGGAGCAAGCGUUAUCCGGAUUUAUUGGGUGUAAAGGGUGCGUAGACGGGAAAUUAAGUUAGUUGUGAAAUCCCUCGGCUUAACUGAGGAACUGCAACUAAAACUGAUUUUCUUGAGUACUGGAGAGGAAAGUGGAAUUCCUAGUGUAGCGGUGAAAUGCGUAGAUAUUAGGAGGAACACCAGUGGCGAAGGCGACUUGCUAGGCCGGAUCUGACACUGAUGCACGAAAGCGUGGGGAUCGAACAGG
rnacentral:rRNA from 1 species